rnacentral:lncRNA from 1 species
UGCAUCAAAAGGUUGCGUUUCCACCUGGAGAAUGAGCAACAAAUCAUUUUAACUGAUUAUACAGAUUUAACAAACAUCAUAAGGUAAGAAAGAGUGGGGAUAACAAAAUUUACACGGUGGAUGGAGACAAACAAGAUCCUGUGAAGCAAGAGAAUUAACAUAUGCAGAGUUCCCGUUAAAAUAGGUAUGGAAGGAAAAAGAGAAAAAGUGGGGCAAAACAAAGAAAGGAAGAUCCGUUGGAAGGAUAUAUUAUGCUCAUACAACAAAUGGUGAAAAAUACUACAUGAGAAUGCUACUUAACGCCCACAAAGGAUGCAUGUCUUUCAAAAGGAACCGUAAAUGGAGUUGUCCACACUUCAUACAUAUUUGCUUGCGAAGCACUAGGAUUUCAACGACAGAGUGGAUUGAGUGCAUAAAUGGGGCAUCAGACUGGGUGAUUGGCUACCAGCUAAGACAACUGUUCAAAAUUCUUAUGCCACUGAAGUCACAAGCCCAAAAAUAUUGUGGGGGACAUGCUGAGAAGUUCUAAGCAAACACAUGGAGUAUAGGUAGAGAAGACUCUUGAACUAUCCUACACUUUGACUAACAGAUACACAAAAGCAAGGAUACGCCUUGGUGAAAGUAGAUAAGCUCAUGAGACAAGCUGGACAGACAUUUAAGGAAUACCCCGGAAUACAACAUUCGAAUUCUUCUCAGAUAAAGGAACUUGGAAACAGACUGCACAAUGAAGAGAUGAAUUAUAACAAAGAGGAAUAAAAGAACAUCAUUCCAGGAUCUUUGGCAAUAUGAACUCUCAACAACUACAUGUGUUUAAUUCAGUAAUGGAAUCAAUGAACAAAAAUUUGGGAAAUAAUAUAUUUGUGGACGGCUAUGGCGGGAUCUGUAUGACAUACCUACGAAGGCAAUCACAGCAAAGUUGUGUUCCGAAGGAAAGAUAGUACUAGCAGUGAUGUCAUCUCAUAUUGCAGAGCUGCUUCUAUAGGGAGCACACUCGAGGUUCCACAUCCCCCUAUCCUUGCAGAAGAGUCAACAUGUUAAGGUUCCCACUUGACCUACUAAAAAAGACAUCACUUAUACUAUGGGAUGAAGGUCCAAUGGCAAACAAGAUAUGCUUUGAGGCGCUAGACAGAACUAAAGGUAGGACUAUAUCUGCCUAAACAAGUGUUCACAAAUGGAUAGCUAUAUGUAGCAUUAUCAAGAUUCACAAGAAGAUAUGGACAAUGUGUAGUGGUAAAUGAUGAAGAUAGCAAAGAGGAGGAUGUGUUCAAGAACAUUGUCUAUACUGAAAUAUUUUAAAGGUAUGGAAAAACAAAAACACUUUUAGUAUGAUUCUUAGAUAAGAAUAGGUACAUGAAAAAUUUGUACACUACAAACUAUCUUCAAAAUACAAAUUAAUAGCAUACCAAUGCUGACAUUAUAUGGCAGGACAAAUAUGGUCCAUGCUCUGUGUAAGUACUGGACACAUGCAACAACAUUUGAAGGAAAUAGUUAAUCAAUUCUAAACAUGUACACUAUAUUUUCUGAUAUUUGUGGCUUAAUAUAUAGUACAACACAAUAUAAAGAGCAUUUGUGCAUCAUUAUAAUUUGUAUGUACAAUGCGGUCAGACCUAUUUUACUACCCUGUUAUUAUAAAUACAAUUUUGUCUUUAGGAAAUAUUAAACUAGAGUUACACAAUUACACUGAUUAAUACAUAUAUUUGUUCAAUAUGAAUUGGGGUAAGGUUUAUUAUUUAUACAUGUUAAAUAUGAAUUGGGGUAAGGGGGGCUAAUACUGCCGAUUACGGUCCAAACCUGGAAAAAAGUGUAGGGGCAUAAGAAAAUAAAUAUUCUCCACUAACAGGUAGUACCUUAAUCACAUUAUAUUGGUAUAUACAAUCGUACAAACAUAAUAAAAGGUUAAUAAAAAAAGGGCAAUCAGGAAAAGGAGAAAGGGGGAACCUGUAGGUCGAAGAAAGUUGCCAAUGUGGAGGAUGACAACGAUGUGUCGGUCUGCCUCGACUGGGAACAACGACGAUGCGUCCGACUCGCGCGCUAGGGGAAGACAACGCUGCCGCCAUCCUCACGCUCAAGAUGGAUUCAAGCUGGCAGCGGAAGACAAGAUCCAAGCCCACAUCACCUGCGAGUCGAGCUGGGAGGUGCCUCAGUCGAGGACGAGCAAGCUAAAGAGAAGAAAUGAAGAGAGCAAACUGAUGGUAGCUGAGUUACCAGUCGGAUCUCAUCCGCUCGUAUGAAUUUUGGAAUGAGCGAGCGGAGAGAAGAAGGAAAGGAGAAAAGGGAUCGGGCAAGAGUAAGAUUUUUUAUUUGUAGGGAAGCAACAACAAUACGUCUCUUUUAGCGGUGCAAGAGCAACAUGCUCACAUG